UGCGGGUUCGUCUAAUGGUAGGACACUUGCCUCUGGAGCAAGGUAUUGGGGUUCGAGUCCCUGACCCGCAG
rnacentral:tRNA from 3 species